rnacentral:rRNA from 1 species
AGACGGGUAGGGGGUGUGAGAGCAUGGCCCCCCACAAUGGGACUGGAACACGGCCCAUACUCCUACGGGAGGCAGCAGCAGGGAAUAUUGCACAAUGGACGGAAGUCUGAUGCAGCGACGCCGCGUGGAUGAAGAAGGCCCUCGGGUUGUAAAAUCCUUUACAGGGGGAAGAGGAAGGACGGUACCCCUGGAACAAGUGUCGGCUAACUACGUGCCAACAGCCGCGGUAAGACGUAGGACACAAGCGUUAUCCGGAUUUACUGGGCGUAAAGCGUCUGCAGGCGGACAGGUAAGUUGGGCGUGAAAGCUCCGGGCCCAACCCGGAGAGGUCGUUCAAUACUGCGUGUCUAGAGGGUGUCAGAGGGGAGUGGAAUUUCCGGAGUAGCGGUAAAAUGCGCAGAGAUCGGAAAGAACACCAAUGGCGAAGGCAGCUCCCUGGGGCAACCCUGACGCUAAGAGACGAAAGCUAGGGGAGCGAACAGGAUUAGAGACCCUGGUAGUCCUAGCCCUAAACGAUGGAUGCUGGAUGUGGGGCCAUAGCGCUCCGUGUCGAAGCGAACGCGUUAAGCAUCCCGCCUGGGGACUACGGCCGCAAGGUUAAAACUCAAACGAAUUGACGGGACCCCGCACAAGCAGCGGAGCGUGUGGUUUAAUUCGAUGCUACACGAAGAACCUUACCUGGGUUUGACAUCUAGGUGGUAGUGAAGCGAAAGCGGAGCGACCCUUCGGGGAGCCUAGACAGGUGCUGCAUGGCUGUCGUCAGCUCGUGCCGUGAGGUGUCGGGUUAAGUCCCGUAACGAGCGCAACCCUUGCCCUCCGUUAUACGUGUCAGAGGGGACUGCCGGCGGUAAGCCGGAGGAAGGUGGGGAUGACGUCAAGUCAGCAUGGCCUUUAUAUCCAGGGCUACACACACGCUACAAUGGCCAGUACAAAGGGCAGCGAAGCCGCGAGGUGGAGCGAAUCCCAGCAAAGCUGGUCGUAGUUCGGAUUGCAGGCUGCAACCCGCCUGCAUGAAGCUGGAGUUGCUAGUAACCGCGCGUCAGCCAUAGUGCGGUGAAUACGUUCCCGGGGUUUGUACACACCGCCCGUCACGUCAUGGGAGUCGAUAACGCCUGAAGCCGGUGGCCUAGCUCGGAAGAGAG